ensembl:lncRNA
CAGCAACGCUUUUCUUCCGCUGAAGUUUGCAGUAAGUGAAUGUAAAACGAAGAGGACAAAGUAGUUAAUGAGUAUUUGCCCACGGUUUGUUAUUUGCAAAGGUGAGGUGACACUUCUUAUCUUCUGCAAUCGGCGGCUUUGAAAUCCAUUUUGCUUAAAGAAAAAGAAGUAAAAGAUAAUGAUACAUUAGAAAUGGCAAAUAGAGGACACGUCUGAAAAAGCUGAUGUGUCUUCAGCGUGUGAAGCGUUGCAACAUCUUCUGCGUUUUGUAGGUUUUCCUGUUGAUUUUCCAAACACAGGCUAUAGCUAAGAUGCACACUCUUGCUGAUUGAAGCUCGGCCUGUAUAUUUAACAUUAAUCACAAGCAGCUGUGGUGGAGGGAAACCUUCCUAGCCAGCCAGAUUAUAUUAGAUUAAAAUGAUCCACAUGUAAGGUGUAGCAAUACCUACUACCCGGGCAGGAGGGAAAUCACAUUAUACUUGCAACUAGAUUAACACAGGGAUUGAGUUGACAAAUAAUUCUCUCCUGCUUUUUAUUUUGUCAGGUGGGAGAAAUAAAAUGUUGCUACGCCAGUGAACUGCCUCAACAAGGCAUGCUUCUGUAAUUGCCUUGGAUGUGCACGCUGGUUCCUCGAGUCAGCACAGCAUCCCAGCAGAGCCUGGUGCUGUAGGAAUAUACCUGCCAACCCCAGCUACACAACCCUACCUGCAGGGAAUACAGCUGUGUGCCUGCUGCAAUGGGCUGGUGUUGGGAGUGGAGUUCUGCACCUUGGACAACAGUGCCCACACUAAGAGCAGCUGGGGAAAUAGGCUGCACUUGGUUGCAGGCUGGUCCUAUUCCUGUGAGAAAAAUACUCAGCAUUGGUUCUCUCAGAUUUAUGAUGCAUCAGAAACCUAAAGAACAUCCAGCAAACCAUGGACUGCGCAUGGAGGAAGACUUCUUUGGUGUGCUUGAAAAGGCUGCUUCACGGCCAAGGAGCUACAGAGCUUUCCAGUGAUGCACAGCACAGUCUCUCCUGGACAUGGACAAGCAAACCCUGCCUUCCAGAACCAGAAGUUUCUCUCUCUGGGAUACCAGCACCUUGUAUGUCCACCCAGAAGAUGCAAAGACUAUAAGCUUACAGCGCGGGAGAAUGAGCCAGGAGAGCCGAGCGUGGCGUUCCCACCCGUGACCAUGGCAGAGCACAGCCUGAUGCAGGGAUGGGAGACCCAAAGGGAUGCUGCGGUGCUGCAAAAACAAGGUAAAGCCUUUCUGCUUUAUGUCAUUUUAUUCCCAAGGGAUCUGUGGUAAAGCCCCUACCCCUUCUGUGAGAACAGAUAAAUCAUUUCGGAGCAAUUUUUACUAUCUCUAUUCCCUCUGCUGUGUAUUGGAGGACUGUUUUUCACCAGGAUCUCUAUUUCAUAGAUUCACAUUAGUAAAUUCAUAGAAUCACAGAAUGGCUUGGGUUGGAAGGGACCUCAAAGUUCCAACCCCUAUUUCUUACUUAAAGCUGUCAGGACAAUGCAGUUAUGAAUCAGGCCAAGUCGUUGUUGCUAUAUCAGAAGAAACCUAAGAACGGACUGGCUUUAAUAAGAAAUAAGUUAUAAUCCAUCCCCACAGUUAAAAUUCACGCAUAUGUGACUAUCAAAGCAGCGAUCACACAUUGCUCAUGCACAUUUACAAUCAGUUUCGUUUACAUUUUGGGAUGUACAGUAAGCAUUUAUUUUUGCAGGGAAUAUUUGCUACCCAAGAAAUUUUAGUGGCUCCCUGUUGUAGGAACCAGCCCCUCUGCUUAUCCACAGGCUGAACACAGCUCAGACAGGCGGCGUCUGAGCUCCCUGCACCGCCGCAGUGCUGAACUUAGGCUCAAAUGGGAGAAAUUGCCUCUCUUCAAGAUGAGAGGGGAUUCAUUUUCCAUGCUAGCUCUUUCCUGGGGGUCUUUGCCAAGAAGAGAAAAACCACUUGCAGUUUUCUGUCUUUUCACCAUUUUUUUUUUUUUUUUUUUAAAGAACAUCAAAGUUAUCACUCCUGCUUUC